GUGCCAGCAGCUGCGGUAAUACGGAGGGUGCGAGCGUUAAUCGGAAUUACUGGGCGUAAAGGGCGCGUAGGCGGUCGCGCAAGUCGGGUGUGAAAGCCCCGGGCUCAACCUGGGAAUUGCAUUCGAUACUGCGUAACUAGAGUCUGGUAGAGGGAAGCGGAAUUCCGCAUGUAGCGGUGAAAUGCGUAGAUGUGCGGAGGAACACCAGUGGCGAAGGCGGCUUCCUGGACCAAGACUGACGCUGAGGCGCGAAAGCGUGGGGAGCAAACAGGAUUAGAUACCCUGGUAGUCCACGCCCUAAACGAUGAGGACUAGACGUUGGGGGGAUAAAACCCUUUAGUGUCGCAGCUAACGCGUGAAGUCCUCCGCCUGGGGAUACGGCCGCAAGGUUGAAACUCAAAGGAAUUGGCGG
rnacentral:rRNA from 1 species